CUACCCUAUAUUUGUUUCUCCAUGCAUCUAUCAAUGGACUCUUGGAUUGUUUCUAUCUUUUAGCUUGUGACUACUGCUGCUGUGAACAUGAUGUACAAAGAGCUCUUCAAGACUUUGCUUUCAACUCCUUGGAUAUAUAUACCCAGAAGUGGAACUUCUGGACCAUACGGUCCAGUCUUUGCCAUUGCCUGUGAAUGUUCAUCUCCUGUUCCUUCAGAUUUCCAGUACAGACUCUUAAGCAUUCCAAUGCAGACCUUUUGGCUUUCCAACAUGAGACCUGAACUUUGACAGGAUCCUCUGACUUUCCAGCACACAGGUGGCCAUUUUGCAUUCUACUCCUGAUUUUGCAGGUAUCAAUCUCAACAGGAAGGAAGCUUUCUUCCAGUAGUUUUGGAAAAACAAAAACCAGAUUCCUCCCUGAGCUAAAGUAGGCAGAUAUCUUCUGCCAUACCUUAAAUGCCCUCCAUCUGGCCUACCUAGAGAUCAGCCUCAUUCCAUGGAGAACUUCUGAACUGAUGUACCUUCUUUUAUAGUGUGACCCUCUGUCUCCAGGAAAAGGUCAAUGUCAGUAGAACUCAUGGAAUUCUGGGUCCAUUCUGGUGGGGAGUUAAGAAAGCAGCAUUUGGUAAGAAUAUUGGUUUCCCAGGGCUGCUGUAAUGAGGGACUACAGGCUGGAUUACUUACACAACAGAAUUUAUUCUCUCACAGUUCUGGAGGCCAGAAGUCUGAAAUCAAGAUGUCACCAGGGC
rnacentral:lncRNA from 1 species